rnacentral:misc_RNA from 1 species
UAAUAAGUGUUUUAUGGCGCUUUUUAAAUCCAUAUCCACCUCGUGUGCAAUGUCGGUCGAUCUUCUUUUUUUGAGGAUCGACCAAACAUCAACCUUUAUUUUUUAACUCUUUGUCUGAAAAAUAUUAUGAAUAAACAAUUCAAAAUA